GAUGAACGCUAGCUACAGGCUUAACACAUGCAAGUCGAGGGGCAGCAUGUCGGUUGCUUGCAACCGACGAUGGCGACCGGCGCACGGGUGAGUAACGCGUAUCCAACCUACCCUUGUCCAUCGGAUAACCCGUCGAAAGGCGGCCUAACACGAUAUGCGGUUCUCAGCAGGCAUCUAACGAGAACGAAAUGUGAAGGAGAAGGAUGGGGAUGCGUCUGAUUAGCUUGUUGGCGGGGUAACGGCCCACCAAGGCGACGAUCAGUAGGGGUUAUGAGAGGAAGGUCCCCCACAUUGGAACUGAGACACGGUCCAAACUCCUACGGGAGGCAGCAGUGAGGAAUAUUGGUCAAUGGGCGAGAGCCUGAACCAGCCGAGUAGCGUGCAGGACGACGGCCCUAUGGGUUGUAAACUGCUUUUAUAAGGGAAUAAAGUGAGUCUCGUGAGACUUUUUGCAUGUACCUUAUGAAUAAGGACCGGCUAAUUCCGUG
rnacentral:rRNA from 1 species